rnacentral:rRNA from 1 species
GGCUUAGAGUUUGAUCCUGGCUCAGAACGAACGCUGGCGGCGCGCUUAACACAUGCAAGUCGAACGAGAAGCCGUAGCAAUACGGUUGUAGAGUGGCAGACGGGUGAGUAAUGCAUGGGUAACCUACCCUCAGGUGGGGAAUAACUCCUCGAAAGGGGAGCUAAUGCCGACGAUAUCCACCAGCCUCAUAAGAGGUUGUUGGAAAGCCGAACCGAGGGUUCGGCGCCUGAGGAUGGGCUCAUGUCCUAUCAGCUUGUUGGCGGGGUAAUGGCCCACCAAGGCUGCGACGGGUAGCUGGUCUGAGAGGACGACCAGCCACACUGGCACUGCGACACGGGCCAGACUCCUACGGGAGGCAGCAGUGAGGAAUCUUGCGCAAUGGGCGAAAGCCUGACGCAGCGACGCCGCGUGGGGGAUGAAGGCCUUCGGGUUGUAAACCCCUUUCAGGAGGGAAGAUGGGACGGGCAACCGUUCGGA